GACGAACGCUGGCGGCGUGCUUAACACAUGCAAGUCGAACGGAAAGGCCCUGCUUUUGUGGGGUGCUCGAGUGGCGAACGGGUGAGUAACACGUGAGUAACCUGCCCUUGACUUUGGGAUAACUUCAGGAAACUGGGGCUAAUACCGGAUAGGAGCUCCUGCUGCAUGGUGGGGGUUGGAAAGUUUCGGCGGUUGGGGAUGGACUCGCGGCUUAUCAGCUUGUUGGUGGGGUAGUGGCUUACCAAGGCUUUGACGGGUAGCCGGCCUGAGAGGGUGACCGGCCAAAUUGGGACUGAGAUACGGCCCAGACUCCUACGGGAGGCAGCAGUGGGGAAUAUUGCACAAUGGGCGGAAGCCUGAUACAGCAACGCCGCGAGCGGGAUAACGGCCUUCGGGUUGUAAACCGCUUUCGCCUGUGACGAAGCGUGAGUGACGGUAAUGGGUAAAGAAGCACCGGCUAACUACGUG
rnacentral:rRNA from 1 species